rnacentral:rRNA from 1 species
GAUGAACGCUGGCGGCGUGCCUAAUACAUGCAAGUCGAGCGAACGGACGAGAAGCUUGCUUCUCUGAUGUUAGCGGCGGACGGGUGAGUAACACGUGGAUAACCUACCUAUAAGACUGGGAUAACUUCGGGAAACCGGAGCUAAUACCGGAUAAUAUUUUGAACCGCAUGGUUCAAAAGUGAAAGACGGUCUUGCUGUCACUUAUAGAUGGAUCCGCGCUGCAUUAGCUAGUUGGUAAGGUAACGGCUUACCAAGGAAACGAUGCAUAGCCGACCUGAGAGGGUGAUCGGGCAGCCUGGAACUGAGACACAGCACAGACUCCUACGCGAGGCAGCAGUAGGGAAUCUUCCGGAAUGGGCGAAAGCCUGACGGAGCAACGCCGCGGGAGUGAUGACGGUCUUCUGAUCGUAAAACUCUGUUAGUAGGGAAGAACAUAUGUGUAAGUAACUGUGAACAUCUUGACGGUACCUAAUCAGAAAGCCACGGCUAACUACGUG